UUUUUAUAUCAAUUCGAGAUUUAUGUCAUGUUGAUCUGUAAUAUAUUUAUUUGUAUUAAAACUUGACCAACUUCUUAAAAUCUGACAGACCGUACGCGAACAGUCCGACGUAUGCCGCGUAUUUUGAAAAAGUACUUGUACCGUAAAAAUACUCAUAUGGUCUGGAAUAUAGACAUCUAUCUAUAUUGUUGAAAACUAUACUAUACUAUGUUGCCUUCUGGAUGUCCUUAGUUUGUCUUUGUCAUUUAAUUGCUGUUUUAUUAACGUAUAACCUACAUUUCCAACAGUUGUGUAUAGCUAAAACGACUAUUGUGUAUAGAAUAAUUGUCUUUCUUUCCCUAAAUAAUAUGUUAAAAAGAAAAAGGACCGAGGAGAGAUGUGCACAGGCACUUGUUUCGAUCUAUCAAUGGGAAGGUCGACUAUCCAUAUAUAUUACAUAUUGAUAGUCGACCUUCCCAUUGAUAGAAACAGGUGCAUGUGGCGAUGUCCAUAAAUAAAAAAAAUAAAGUAAACAGAAAAAAAUGCUCCACGUUUCAAUCUUUAACUUUCCCUCCCCCUUCCAAGUUUUUUUCUACUGUAUUUUUUUUAAGACAUGUCGCAUCUACACAAAGUCUUAUUGAUCUGCAGCUUACCCCCCUAUUAGUUUUGGAAUACAUGAUCUACAUUAAAUUCGAUCCAAAAAUAGUCACUCAAAAGGC
rnacentral:lncRNA from 1 species